rnacentral:rRNA from 1 species
ACAUAUGGGUGGCGAGUGGCGGACGGGUGAGUAACGCGUAAGAAUCUGCCUUAAAGAGGGGGAUAACCCGAGGAAACUCGGGCUAAUACCGCAUGAAGUCGAGAGACCAAAGCUGGGGCGACCUGGCGCUUGAAGAGGAGCUUGCGUCCGAUUAGCUAGUUGGUGGGGUAAAAGCUUACCAAGGCGAUGAUCGGUAGCUGGUCUGAGAGGAUGAUCAGCCACACUGGGACUGAGACACGGCCCAGACUCC